rnacentral:rRNA from 1 species
AGGACGAACGCUGGCGGCGCGCCUAACACAUGCAAGUCGAGCGAGAACCAGGGCUUGCCCUGGGGACAGCGGCGAACGGGUGCGUAACACGUGAGCAACCUGCCCCAAAGACCGGGACAACCCGAGGAAACUCGGACUAAUACCGGAUGCCCUCACCGGGUCGCAUGGUCUGGUGAGGAAAUGGAUUCCGCUUUGGGAUGGGCUCGCGGUCUAUCAGCUUGUUGGUGGGGUAACGGCCUACCAAGGCGACGACGGAUAGCUGGUCUGAGAGGACGAUCAGCCACACUGGGACUGAGACACGGCCCAGACUCCUACGGGAGGCAGCAGUGGGGAAUCUUGCGCAAUGGGGGAAACCCUGACGCAGCGACGCCGCGUGCGGGAUGAAGGCCUUCGGGUUGUAAACCGCUUUCAGCAGGGACGAACUGACGGUACCUGCAGAGAAGCCCCGGCAACUACGUGCCAGCAGCCGC